rnacentral:rRNA from 2 species
UAGUAACGGCGAGUGAAGCGGGAACAGCUCAAAUUUGAAAUCUGGCCCUUGGGUCCGAGUUGUAAUUUGCAGAGGAUGCUUUUGGUGCGGUGCCUUCCGAGUUCCCUGGAACGGGACGCCUUAGAGGGUGAGAGCCCCGUACGGUUGGCCACCAAGCCUGUGUAAAGCUCCUUCGACGAGUCGAGUAGUUUGGGAAUGCUGCUCAAAAUGGGAGGUAUAUUUCUUCUAAAGCUAAAUACUGGCCAGAGACCGAUAGCGCACAAGUAGAGUGAUCGAAAGAUGAAAAGCACUUUGAAAAGAGGGUUAAAUAGCACGUGAAAUUGUUGAAAGGGAAGGAUUUAUGACCAGACUUUUUCUGGGGGGAUCAUCCGGUGUUCUCACCGGUGCACUUCCCCCAGUUGAGGCCAGCAUCGGUUUCUGCCGGGGGAUAAAAGCUUUGGGAAUGUGGCUCCUUCGGGAGUGUUAUAGCCCGUUGCAUAAUACCCUGGCGGGGACCGAGGUUCGCGCAUUGCAAGGAUGCUGGCGUAAUGGUUAUUAAUCACCCGUCUUGAAACACGGACCAAGGAGUCGAACAUUUGUGCGAGUGUUUGGGUGUUAAACCCUCACGCGUAAUGAAAGUGAACGGAGGUGAGAGCCUUUAGGGGUGCAUCAUCGACCGAUCCUGAUGUCUUCGGAUGGAUUUGAGUAAGAGCAUAACUGUUCGGACCCGAAAGAUGGUGAACUAUGCGUGGAUAGGGUGAAGCCAGAGGAAACUCUGGUGGAGGCUCGCAGCGGUUCUGACGUGCAAAUCGAUCGUCAAAUCUGCGCAUGGGGGCGAAAGACUAAUCGAACC